GUGCCAGCAGCCGCGGUAAUACGUAGGUGGCAAGCGUUAUCCGGAAUUAUUGGGCGUAAGGCGCGCGUAGGCGGUUUUCUAAGUCUGAUGUGAAAGCCCACGGCUCAACCGUGGAGGGUCAUUGGAAACUGGAAAACUUGAGUGCAGAAGAGGAAAGUGGAGUUCCAUGUGUAGCGGUGAAAUGCGCAGAGAUAUGGAGGAACACCAGUGGCGAAGGCGACUUUCNUGGUCUGUAACUGACGCUGAUGUGCGAAAGCGUGGGGAUCAAACAGGAUUAG
rnacentral:rRNA from 1 species